UUCCUACGGGGCGCAGCAGUGGGGGAUAUUGGACAAUGGGGGAAACCCUGAUCCAGCGAUGCCGCGUGAGGGAAGAAGGUUUUCGGAUUGUAAACCUCUGUGGAGGGGGACGAUAAUGACGGUACCCCUUUAGGAAGCCACGGCUAACUACGUGCCAGCAGCCGCGGUAAUACGUAGGUGGCGAGCGUUGUCCGGAAUGAUUGGGCGUAAAGGGUGCGUAGGCGGCCUGCUAAGUCUGGAGUGAAAGGUACCGGCUCAACCGGUACAGGCUCUGGAAACUGGCGGGCUAGAGAGCAGGAGAGGGG
rnacentral:rRNA from 1 species